GAUGAACGCUGGCGGCGUGCCUAAUACAUGCAAGUCGAGCGAACAGACGAGGAGCUUGCUCCUCUGACGUUAGCGGCGGACGGGUGAGUAACACGUGGAUAACCUACCUAUAAGACUGGGAUAACUUCGGGAAACCGGAGCUAAUACCGUAUAACAUGUUGAACCGCAUGGUUCAACAGUGAAAGACGGUCUUGCUGUCACUUAUAGAUGGAUCCGCGCCGCAUUAGCUAGUUGGUAAGGUAACGGCUUACCAAGGCAACGAUGCGUAGCCGACCUGAGAGGGUGAUCGGCCACACUGGAACUGAGACACGGUCCAGACUCCUACGGGAGGCAGCAGUAGGGAAUCUUCCGCAAUGGGCGAAAGCCUAACGGAGCAACGCCGCGUGAGUGAAGAAGGUCUUCGGAUCGUAAAACUCUGUUAUUAGGGAAGAACAAAUGUGUAAGUAACUAUGCACGUCUUGACGGUACCUAAUCAGAAAGCCACGGCUAACUACGUG
rnacentral:rRNA from 1 species